UUAAACAACCUUUCAUAGGGAGUAGAGAAGUUUAUGCUUUUUAGAGGCAUUCUGUUGAUGAGAUAUGUUGCUGUAAGUACACAAGCACUCCAGUAUUUGUCAGGAAGUUUGGAUUGAAAAGACAAAGCUCUGGCAGUUUCAAGGAGAUGUUUGUGUUUUCUCUCCACAACACCAUUUUGCUGAGGUGUAUGACUGCAACUAGUCUGUCCUAGAAUACCUUUCUCAAUAAAUAAUUCUUUCAUUCUUCCCUCAGUAAGAUCAGGAGCAUUGUCAGAUCUUACUUGUUUCACAGUUAGACCAAACUGGUUUUCAACAUAAAGUAAAAACUGAGACAUGAUUUGAACUGAAUCUGUUUUAUUUCUCAUAAGAUGUGUCCAAGUCAUCCUAGUGUAAUCAUCAACAAUUGUAAGGAAUUGAUUACAUCUGGAAGUAUCUAAAACAGAAUAUGGACCCCAUACAUCAAUAUGAAUGAGUUCAAAAGGUGUAGUGGUUUUGAUACAACUAGAUGAAAAUGGAAAUCUAGUUUGUUUGGUUAGUGGACAGAUUUGACAAAAUGAUUCAGCUAAACAACCAUGUACAUCAACACCUUUGAGACCUUUUAUUUUUCCAAAAGACAUGUGACCAAGUCUGAGAUGCCACAACUUGGCUUCUUGUAUUGCUGCUGGUUUGGCUGCUGAAAGAGCAUACUUAUGUGAACCAGGAAUCUUGUCUGAUACAAAGAGAUCUUCACUUAGGCUAUACAGACCUCUCUCCAACUUACCAAGCAGAAUAUGCUUGUUCUUGGAAAGGUCCUGAAGAUAACAUUCACCAUUUGUAAAAGAGAUUGAACAUUUAGUGUCACAACAAAGUUUAGAAAUGGAUAUCAGAUUAAACUGAAACUUUGGGACAUGUAAAACAUUUCUGAGAACAAUGUCUUGACUUAACUGUAUUGUACCCUUAUGUUUUACUUUUAAUUCAGUUCCAUCAGGUAUAGUAAUAGUGUGUUGAUCAUCAUGUACACUCUCAAAUGUAGUGAAAAGUGACAGAUCAGAACACAUGUGAUCACUAGCACCACUGUCUAGUAUCCACUUUCUUCUGAAAUUAGACAGAAAACAAAAUGUACCUUUAGGGUGGGAACUGGUUGCUAAUCCAAGUGAGUGAGAGCCAAUAUUCUCAACUUGAUUAGCAACUUGCUGGCUUUGUAGGCAUUUCAUCAAUUGAUUGUAUUGCUCUUCUGUAAAAGUAGCAUGAAUCAUCCCUGCAUCUGCCUCCUCUUGAGUUUCUUUAGAAUUAAACUCAUCCAGUUGAGCUGCUGCUGCUAUUCUCUUUCCUUUACCCUUAAAGUCCUUUGGAUAACCAUGGAGUUUCCAGCAUUUAUCAAUAGUGUGAUUCUUCAUUUUGCAAUGAUCACAGAACAAAUUGUUCCUGGUGUUGUUGAAGCUUCUAUACUGGUUUCCAGAUCCUGAAUUUUGUGGAUUGGAACUUGAAUUGUACUGAUUCUUGUAAAUUUUAUUGUCAAAUCUUCUUGCAUUGAAUGCUGUGGACUCUGUUUGCACUUGAACUCUGUGAUUAUGUACUUCCUUUUGCUGUUCUUCCUGAAGUAAAAGACCAUAUGCUUUUGAAAUCGUAGGUAGAGGACUCAUCAUCAAUAUAGUACUCUUAGUGUGUUCAUACUUUUGACUCAAUUUCAUCAAGAACUGAAUCAACCUUUGAUUUUGUUGUGUUUUCAACAAUUUCUGAGUGAGUGUGCAACUGCAGCCUGUGCAAACACAAACAGGUAAAGGUUCUAGUCCAUCCAGCUGAUCCCACAGAAGUUUGAUCUUGGUAAAGAAACUAGCAACAGCUUCAUCAUCUCCUUGUUUUUGAGGUACAGAACACUUCUUGCAACUGAAGCUUCAAGUGAGGCCAAUAUCCAUGAAAUGACCAAGUCAUUGCACCUGAUCCACAUUCUGUAGUUUGUAGAAUUAGUUGCUGGUUGAUUCAGACUGCCAUCUACAAAGCAAAGCUUAUUCCUAGCAGACAAUGCUAUCAUCAUUGAUCUUCUCCAAUCACUGAAGCUUUUUCCUUCACCAUCAAACUCAAUAUUCACCAAUUUGGUGGUAUUCAGAUCACUAUUACUGAGAUAGUAAGCAGAAUUAGGAUUCUGUGAUGAAUCUUGCUGAUCUGAAGGCAUUUUAUUAUUGCGAAAUCACAAUUUCUCUGAAGAUUUGAUUAAAGAAUUAACAAGAAGAAGAGAAAGAAUGCAGGAUCAAUUGAUCACUGCUCU